UCGUGCAUGUGUAUGUGUGCACAUAUAUUUGUGAUAUGAGCUCCCACAAAAGCAAACUUCAGGAGUCAGUUCCUUUUUCAGAAUCAAAUGCUGGUUUAUACUUUUCUUCCACAAAGUCAGGCAGCUGCUCUAAGCAAUUUCCUUCGUUUGGUUGCUGGGAAGAUAAACAUUUCCAGGAAAUGUCCCAGUAUUCAGAUGCACACCUGUGUCGUAUAAAAAAAAUUAGGCUAACAUCUCUUGACCUAAAUUAAGCAAAAUUUAUUUAGAGAGAAAGUCUGAGUUUAAAGUAGUGUACAUCUAGUUUAGCAAAUGUUAUAGGAAAUGGAUGAUAGGCCCGAUAUAAUAAAUUGAGUUUUGCUUUAGUGCAGCAAUUCUGGCUGAGCAUCAUAUUCUUUCACAAAUUAUAAUUGUGAGAACUGAUAGAAGCACAAAGUAAUUGUGUUAUGAUGCAGGGCUGGAAGAAAAUAGACUUUUUUGACUGAAGCAAUCUCAUUGAGGCUUAGUCUUGAGACUGAAUUGUUUAACUUAAAAAACUGUACUAUAUAUUUUGUUUCCACAGAUAUAUUUUGUAAUUUAUCCAGAAGGAGCAUUUUACAACCCAGAACUGCCCAAAGUAAUUACAGAUAGCCAGUCAUACUGAAAAGAAAGGUCUCACAAUACUGAAACAUGUCCUUACUCCACGGGUGAAGGCCACUCAUGUUGCUGUUGAUUCCAUGAAGAGCUACUUUGAUGCAGUUUAUGAGGUUACAAUAGCCUAAGAAGGAACUGUAGAUCAUAAAGGACAAAGGAAAGUGGCACCAUCCAUGGCUGGUGAGCAGAUUGCUAAACAGGAUUUUAUGAUGCAAAAGAUUCUAAAAGAAGAAAUAAGUUUCUUGGGAAAAGUCUUUGCUCCAAACUAAGUCUCCAGAAAACAUUGCCAUCCUAAUUGUUUUUAAGAGGCUUGAUUGCCACCAUGCUAAUAGAAUCUGGAAGGAAACUGCAUGAAAACACGGAUAUAUGGCAGCUUAUUAGGCUGUCUCUGGGACUUGGCACAAUAUGUAAAUGAAGUGAAGCAAGAUAAUGAAACUCUCUGUGAAAUUAAGCAAUUUCAAUCAUCAAUAGAAAAUUUUGUAGGAUUUUAUAAGAUGCUGCUUUUUUAUUUUUUAAGAUUUUCCCCUCUUUGUAUACCUGUCAUUUAUAGACCUUUAAGCAGGAAAGCUGAAAGUGAAAAUUCUGGCAGGGUUAAGACUAAAGUCAGGGUGGAGCACAGGCAAGCUUGUCCAAAGGUAGAGUCAAUUGCAGGUAAGAAACUAAACCAAUAUAUUCUGAAAAAGGUUUGAACACAGAUUCCAGAAAACUGGGAUAUUGAGAAUCAGAAGACAGCUAAUCAAGAGAGUUAGAAUAGAAACAGGAACUUUAAGCCAGGGGUCCUCAAACCCCAGUCCGUGGACCGGUACUGGGCCAUGGUAUGCCAGCAACCGAUUUGCACAAACAAGCAAAGCCCCAUCUGCGGGAUGCAGGCAGCUCACAAAACCACGCACCCUCUGGUCCACGGAAAAACCUCUCCACGGAAUUGAUUCCUGGUGCCCAAAAGGCUGGGGACCUCUGAGUUAGAUCAUUGUUAAUUAUCUGGUAUUAUCUGAUCAUGCUGGAAAUAUCAGUGAGAAAUAGCUGAAGAACAUAGGAACUUGUUCGUCCAAGCCAAGCAUUUUCUUGAGAUGCACUAAUGAGGGAAAAUGCAAGAACUAUUCAACUUUUUCCUUAUUCUACUCACCAGCUCCUCCCUUCUUUUUUUACUAAGGUAUUUAGGUAUUCAUAAAACAUAAAAAGCUACAGAAGCAACUCUUAAUUGCUCUAAUUUUAGGCUGAUUUAGAAAAGCAACUGAAAGGAAUAAGAACAGCAAUUACAUGUAAUGUCUCUCAGUCAACUAUAACUAAUAUAGCACACUGAAACAUUUUCUCUUUCUUACACAUCUGUGCGUGCGCAAAUGCAUAUAUGUAGUCUACUUUCUGUUGACAGUCCCCAAAUUGGAUAAAAUAAAGUAAGAUGAUAAAGCCCAAAAUUAUAAACACUGAACUCAUACAAAAUUAUGAAACCAUAGAAGAAGACCAUGACGGGCUGGAAGGAGAAGCUGGACCACAUCUGGAAAGCAUUGUGCAGAGGAAGACUGGGUUAUGUUGCACUAAAGUUGAUGGAAAAUAGUACUUAGAGAUUUUUUUAAAAAAAUUAAAAAAAAAAACCUGGCACUGCUAUUGAACAUUUUGGAAGCCAAUUUUAUGACUUGGGUUGAAUUGCAGUGUAAUCAAGUAAUCGGUUUAAUUCCCACUUGGAAGAAAAGAAUAACUCCACACAGACAUUGAUUUAAACACCGUUUUAUGACCUGCAAAUGUGCAGUUCUGAGUAAAAGCCAAAAAAUUCUUGUUAACUAGAUAUAAAUUAACUUUCCGGUACAGAUAGUCUUCAACUUCAGUUCAUUUAGUGACCAUUUGAAAUUACAGUGGCACCGAAAAAAAUGAGUUAUGGCCGUUUUUCACACUUACGACCAUUGCCAUAUCCCUA